rnacentral:rRNA from 1 species
CCUACGGGAGGCAGCAGUGAGGAAUAUUGGUCAAUGGGCGGGAGCCUGAACCAGCCAAGUCGCGUGAGGGAAGACGGUCCUAUGGAUUGUAAACCUCUUUAGGCGGGGAGCAAUGCCGGGCACGUGUGCCCGGAGGGAGAGUACCCGCAGAAUAAGCAUCGGCUAACUCCGUGCCAGCAGCCGCGGUACUACGGAGGAUGCGAGCGUUAUCCGGAUUUAUUGGGGUUAAAGGGUGCGUAGGCGGAUUUUUAAGUCAGCGGUAAAAUGUCCGGGCUCAACCCGGGCCGGCCGUUGAAACUGGGGAGCUUGAGUGGGCGAGAAGUAUGCGGAAUGCGUGGUGUAGCGGUGAAAUGCGUAGAUAUCACGCAGAACUCCGAUGGCGAAGGCAGCAUACCGGCGCCCGACUGACGCUGAGGCACGAAAGCGUGGGGAUCGAACAGGAUUAGAUACCCCUGUAGUC